GCGCAGCAGUCGAGAAACCUCCGCAAUGCGGGAAACCGCGACGGGGGACCCCGAGUGCCGUGGCAACGCCACGGCUUUUCCGGAGUGUAAAAGCUCCGGGAAUAAGGGCUGGGCAAGGCCGGUGGCAGCCGCCGCGGUAAUACCGGCGGCCCGAGUGGUGGGCCGCUAUUAUUGGGCCUAAAGCGUCCGUAGCCGGGCCCGUAAGUCCCUGGCGAAAUCCCACGGCUCAACCGUGGGGCUUGCUGGGGAUACUGCGGGUCUUGGGACCGGGAGAGGCGGGGGGUACCCCUGGGGGUAGGGGUGAAAUCCUAUAAUCCCAGGGGGACCGCCAGUGGCGAAGGCGCCCCGCUGGAACGGGUCCGACGGUGAGGGACGAAGGGCCA
rnacentral:rRNA from 1 species